rnacentral:rRNA from 1 species
UGCAAGUCGAGCGAUGAAGCUCCUCGGGAGUGGAGUUAGCGGCGGACGGGUGAGUAACACGUGGGGUAACCUGCCUACAUAGAGGGGAACUAGCCUUUCGAGAGGAAGAUUAAUACCGCAUAUGGUAGCUUUAUCGCAUGGUAAUGCUAUUAAAGGAGGUAAUCCGCUAUGAGAUGGACCCGCGUCGCAUUAGCUAGUUGGUGAGGUAACGGCUCACCAAGGCGACGAUGCGUAGCCGACCUGAGAGGGUGAUCGGCCACAUUGGGACUGAGACACGGCCCAGACUCCUACGGGAGGCAGCAGUGGGGAAUAUUGCACAAUGGGGGAAACCCUGAUGCAGCAACGCCGCGUGAGUGAUGACGGCCUUCGGGUUGUAAAACUCUGUCUUUGGGGACGAUAAUGACGGUACCCAAGGAGGAAGCCACGGCUAACUACGUGCCAGCCGCUGC